rnacentral:rRNA from 1 species
GACGAACGCUGGCGGCGUGCUUAACACAUGCAAGUCGAACGGAAAGGCCCUUCGGGGUACUCGAGUGGCGAACGGGUGAGUAACACGUGGGUGAUCUGCCCUGCACUUUGGGAUAAGCCUGGGAAACUGGGUCUAAUACCGAAUAGGACCGCGCGCUUCAUGGUGUGUGGUGGAAAGCUUUUGCGGUGUGGGAUGGGCCCGCGGCCUAUCAGCUUGUUGGUGGGGUAAUGGCCUACCAAGGCGACGACGGGUAGCCGGCCUGAGAGGGUGACCGGCCACAAUGGGAGUGAGGAACGGCCCAGAGACAUAAGGGAGGAAGAAGUGGGGAAUAUUGCACAAGGGGCGCAAGCCUGAUGCAAGAACGCCGCGUGCGGAAUGACGGCCGUCGGGGAGAGAACCUAUUUGACCAGGGACGAAGAGAUAGUGACGGUACCUGGAGAAGAAGCACCGGCCAACUACGUG